rnacentral:misc_RNA from 1 species
AAAAUGCGAUACGUAAUGUGAAUUGCAGAAUUCCGUGAAUCAUCGAAUCUUUGAACGCAAAUUGCGCUCCCCGGUAUUCCGGGCAGCAUGUCUGCUUGAGUGGCAUUCUCGUCUAGAAUCAAGAGGGCGACUUCUUGGAAGUGAGCUGGUGGGUCCGACAACGACGCACAGCUUGAAAUGGAGAAUGGCGAACAAAAUACACGAGCACGCGGUGUUCCUGAAAUCUCACUACAACUCUCGCCAGUGUGGUAAGUCACAUUGCAACGCUAGCCGCGAGUUGUGAGAAUGAAGGAAGCAGCGCAAGUGCCGCACAAUCGUGGUUUUAUCUAUACAAAAUACACUCAUGCUCUCAAGUCAGGCACGACUACCCGCCGAACUUAA